rnacentral:lncRNA from 10 species
CUGUCCCCAGAUCCCCAUACCGAGUGUGCCUACGUUCCAGCCGUCUACACCUGUCCCUGAGCGCCUGGAAGCUGUGCAGCGCUACAUCAGAGAGCUGCAGUACAAUCACACAGGGACACAGUUCUUUGAAAUUAAGAAGAGCAGACCUCUGACAGGGCUGAUGGACCUGGCCAAGGAAAUGACCAAAGAGGCCCUGCCAAUCAAAUGCCUGGAAGCCGUGAUCCUGGGAAUGUUUUCCAGUCACACCCCCGCCUCCAACCCAAAGGGCAGAAGUGGGGCCUGUAGCUGAGUCACCAGGGUAGCCUUGGAGACAGACCAGCCACCAGGAGAGGCUGUCCUCCCCAGCCCCACAGUCAACAGCGGGAGAGGAGGAAGUGUUUAUGGCUGGUUCUCCAUCCUAACUGGUCAAUGCCUGAGCCCUACCUUUUCUUCUCAGUCAUUUUAUUAUUAAAAAUGUCAUAAAUACACGUGAAACCUAGAACAA